rnacentral:rRNA from 1 species
UACGUAGGUGGCAAGCGUUGUCCGGAUUUACUGGGCGUAAAGGGCGUGCAGGCGGCUUGUUAAGUGCAGGGUGAAAGCUCCCGGCUCAACUGGGAGAGGUUCUUGCAUACUGGCGAGCUCGAGGGAGGCAGAGGAAAGUGGAAUUCCGGUGUAGUGGUGAUAUGCGUAGAUAUCGGGAGGAACACCUGUGGCGAAGGCGGCUUUCUGGGCCUUACCUGACGCUGAGACGCGAAGCGUGGGGAGCGAACAGG